UCUUUUCCUUAGAGAGGCUGACGGUGACA
rnacentral:piRNA from 1 species